rnacentral:misc_RNA from 1 species
CGAAAUGCGAUACGUAGUGUGAAUUGCAGAAUUCAGUGAAUCAUCGAAUCUUUGAACGCACAUUGCGCCCUUUGGUAUUCCAAAGGGCAUGCCUGUUCGAGCGUCAUUUGUACCCUCAAGCUCUGCUUGGUGUUGGGCGUUUUUUUUGUCUUGGGGGCCUGCCCCUAAAGACUCGCCUUAAAAAGAUUGGCAGCCGGCCUACUGGUUCCGCAGCGCAGCACAUUUUUGCGCUUGCAACCAGCUCCAAAGAGGACGGCACUCCAUCAAGUCUCUUUAUUCACUUUUGACCUCGGAUCAGGUAGGGAUACCCGCUGAACUUAAGC